rnacentral:lncRNA from 10 species
UUCGAUCUCCUGACCUCGUGAUCCGCCCACCUCGGCCUCCCAAAGUGCUGGGAUUACAGGCGUGAGCCACCGCGCCCAGCCCAAUUCCCUUUUAUCUGCAGGAACCACCUAUUCAUCAGGGCCUUAGGAUGAUAUAAGAACUGAGUACCCAGGACUGACACCCAAUGACAAGGUCCAGCAGCGGUUUCCAACCUGAGGUCCACAGUUGGGCUUCAGAGAUCCCCUGAACCCCCUGAAACUGUACACAAUCUGUGUGUGUGCAAAGUUUUGUUUGUGUGUACAUUUUUCUGGAGAAAGGGUCUCUCACUUCUUUCAGAUAUCAAAAAGUUCUGAGAGCCCCCAAAGUUAGGAACCACUGAGGAAGAGGGAAUGGCUUCUUCUAGCUAAGCAGGGAGAAUUAAGUGUGCUGUAAUUACCCAAACCCCGGCAGCCUGCUGCAGUCUACCCCAUCCCCAACAAUAGAGUCUGAGGAAGGAGGCCCAGUUCUUGUUUGUCUCUCAUCCCAGGGGGUGCUUGGAUAAGAAACUUGAACUUCUCUGGACCUCAGUGUUUCUGAAUGUAAAACUGGGGAGAAGGGUUUCGGUCUCCUAGGAACUGUAAAUAAGACUCACAACAUGCUUGGAAAUGGUUUCGAUAUAGCAUGGGGAACCAUCACUGCUCUUUGGCAACUAGAAGAUCCACAGGCUACCAAGUAAAUGAGAAGCCCAGCCUGGCAGAAUGUGACCUUGGCAGAGGGGGAUGCUGGGAGGACCUUCAAGGAGCCAGGCUCCCCGGCACCAGUAGGUCUUGUUCAGCUGUGAAUCGGAGCUAAGGUGGAAUCAGAUUAUGACUUAAUUUCCCUGCUAAUGCCUCCCUGUCUCAUAGGCUCCUCAUUUAAGGUUGGAAGUAACCUGAAGUCAUGCAGCCCAACCUCUUGUCUCAGACUUCAGUCCCUUCUGCCCCAUCCCCUCUUGGGUCAGUUCCAACUAUCAGAAAGUUCUUUAUAUUGAGUUAACAAUCCGGCCGGACAUGGUGGCUCAUACCUGUAAUCCCAGCACUUUGGGAGGCUGAGGCAGGCAGAUCACCUGAGGUCAGGGGUUCGAGACCAGCCUGGUGAAACCCCCACUUUGGCCUCCCAAUUGCUGGGAUUACAGGCGUGAGCCACCAUGCCCGGCUGAUGUUUCAGGUUCUUAGAAGCAGUGUAUAUAAUUUCUUUCCAGCUCACAUUAACCUGCUGAGCAGCUAGACACACUAAACUCAAUUUCUAUUUACAGCCAGACCUCAUAGGGUGAGUAGAAAAAACCCAAUGGCGAAAGAUCUGAGACAAACAGAGGCCAAAUGAACAGGCACAGGUAAUUCAGAAAUUCAGUGGUAGGCAUGGGAACAGAGCCCAGGGGUCCCAACUCUUCGUUUCUUUCUGGAAGACACUCAACUGUGAUUAUACACGGGGUGGGCAGCAAUGCCAGUGUGGUAGCCCCAGAGGAUCUGAAAACACUGGAGUGACCGGGACACUGGAAUUCCAACUGCAGCCCACAUGGGGUGGUUUUCCUUGGGAAGCCUCUCUAAAGAAGGGAAUUUAGCUUGCCUGCUCUUUUAGAAUGUGCCAGCGGAAGUGGCAAAUUUAAGAUUAAAAAGGGGACCUUGUGGGCUGGAGAUGGGGUGCUUUUCCUGUAUAUCACAGGAACUCUUGACCCUGGCAGGGGAAUUUGGGACUCUUGGGUUCUGUUUCUGGCCUGCUAUAGUCUCCAACUCUCUGGAUAUGAUGCUGGUCUAGAGGGGGCCCUCCUGUCAAAGGCUCAACUGCAGACCCAGAAACCGAACCCACCCGGGUACCUGUGGAUCCCUGUCCCAGAGCACAGCUAUAGUAACACCCUGGGGAACGAGGAGAUACCUAGGCCCAGCUGCAUUUCUCAGACCUAAACGCCUAGAACCCAAGCCACCUAGGCCUGCAGAGUCAGGUCAGAGUCCAGGUGUUAUGUGCCUGCUCUGGGAAUCCAAGAGCCUAAGUCAAUGCCAAGUUUAACCAGAGGGUCUCUGACCCCAAGGGCAGAGCCUAGGCAGACAGAGCCCAGGGGUGUUAGCUCCGAAAAUUACUGUGCCAAAACCGCAGCAUUGGCCUGAAGAUCCUGCCCUGUCAGGUCAGGAGACAGGAGACACUGGGUCGAGAAAGGGCAGAGGUCAUUUGCAGAGCAUGUUUGGGAAAGGAAGCCAGUGUUCAAUUGUGUAACCACAGGAUGCCCGCCCCUCGAGCUUUCCAUCUGCCUUCAUGCCUCAGGUCCAAUGAAGUGACGUCCCCUGCCUUCUAGGACGCUGAGAACUGUCGAGGAGGCCCAUCUUCUGCAAGGUGGGGCAACAACACGGACAGGUAGAGGUACCUAGGCCGGCUGGAUACAUUCCUCUGCUGACCUAUCUCAUCAGUAUCUUUGGUUACUAUCUGGCCAACUCACAGUUGUGGGAAACCUCAGCUUUGGGACUGGGGCCAGGUCCCUGGACAACCCCAGCCCCUGUCCCAUGCUUCCUCGACCCACAAGCCCUGUCUAGCCUGGCUCUGACAGGCAGGCCGCAGCCAUUACGGCAGCCUCAGCUCACACCCAUGGAGCUCAUCUUCCCCUUUUUUGAGAGAGAUUUUAACUCCUUCCCCACCACUCCCCUGGCGCUGAAAGACUUACAAUCACCCACUUCAGUGUUGACGACCCAAAGCCCUUAGAGCCACUCUCCCAAGGCCCCAGUGGGCCGUGCCCCUACACCUCAUCCUCUCUUGUCGGGAGCACCUGCUCCUGCAAACUUCUGAGCCAGACGGAGUCUCCAAACUCCCGUUACCAUGCGAUCCUCCCUGGACCCCCGGCUAGACACUGCGGGUCGGGGAGAAGUUGGGGAGGAGUCUGGGCUUGAGCCAAGGGCCUCAGCUGACUCCUCUACCCCGGGGGAUACCUCCCCUCCCCCUCAAUAGGGCCGGGGCUUCCUCUUCCGGCAAGGAGGGGUUAAGCCCUCUGGGUGGGGCUGGGCUUGCCCAAACCCCCUCCUCAAGCCUCUCGGCCGCCCCGUCCCGUGACCCUCUACCCGCGGGACAGGAAGGCCCGUGCACUUUCGCCCCGUCAUGCCCCCUUGCGCGGGGGCCAGAGGGGGCCCGUCUCAGCCGGCAGCGGGUCCCUCCUGCUUCGAGAGCCCCUC